GUUGACUGAAUGUGUGCAGUACGGCCAAUAAACUAGCGAGAGAAACAGAACAGUAGUGUGGCUCAACACAAUCCCUUCCAAAUAUUUUGACGCGCCAACGACCAAGUUUUACGUAGCAGAUCUAUUAUAGGAAGUUGGUGUUUGAUGGACUCCUCCUUGAUGGCUUUGUAAUGACCUGCCAGUGACUGUUGUGACGGCACCAGAUGUGAACUCUUAAGACGAGACCAACACUGGUACAUGUUCAAUCAAAAGCCUGUACAUACACCAGAGAAAUGACCAACUGCUUGACCGAAUAGUGAGCUGACAAGUGGCGAAGAGGAUAAAGUGAAGGAGUGAGAUGGUUAAUGUGAUCUCCCGUGGAGCAGCUGUAGGCGUGAGAUAAAUUUGUCGGAGACGUAAAGAGCAGUGGUGGUGAUGGCAGGAACAGUGGUGGAGAUGAUGGCAGGAGCAGUGGUGAAGA